GUUGAUACAUUAUAAAUCUGUUUGAAGUUAAAACGUAUGGUCACACCAGUUAUGCACAACAAAUAUCUUCAAUUUACACCUUGCCAAGGCAAACAUGCAGCCACCAAGGGUUGUGCAUGAGAACCCAAUACAAGGUGUAAUUUCACGAGUUUUAGCACAAGUCUGGUAUUACCCAUUAAUACAGUACUAGGGUGGUACCUUUGAUCCAAG